rnacentral:rRNA from 1 species
GACAGAGGGUGUUAACGUUGCUCGGAAUUACUGGGUGUAAAGCGCGUGCAGGUGGUUUCGUAAGUUCGGUGUGAAAGCCCAGGGCUCAACCCUGGAAGUGCACUGAAUACUGCGAGACUUGAGUUCUGAAGAGGAGAGUGGAAUUCCCGGUGUAGAGGUGAAAUUCGUAGAUAUCGGGAGGAACACCAGUGGCGCAAGCGACUCUCUGGGCAGAAACUGACACUAAAACGCGAAGGCGUGGGGAGCAAACAGG